CCAACUCAUUAAUCGAAACCCUUCAACCGUACUGAAUGACUUCAUAUAUUAUGAAGGACCAUAUGCUAAAACUAGUAACAAGAAGAAGACCUUCUCUAAAAUGCAAGCGUAAGUCAUAAUGAACAACUCACUGACACUUAACGUCUAUGAACUCAAAGUAGUAACCAAUACCUCAAGAAAACUCUACUUAACAUUACGUCAACCUUACACUAGCGCAUUUCAAGAAAGAUUUAAAGAAAAGGAAGGAACUCGGCAAAUUAUUAACCCCGCCUGUUUACCAAAAACAUCGCCUCCUGAUAAACAUAGGAGGUCCAGCCUGCCCAGUGACAAGUUAAACGGCCGCGGUACCCUAACCGUGCAAAGGUAGCGCAAUCACUUGUUCUUUAAAUGAGGACUAGUAUGAACGGCAUCACGAGGGUUAUACUGUCUCCCUACUCUAAUCAGUGAAACUGAUCCCCCCGUGAAGAAGCGGGGAUACUUAUAUAAGACGAGAAGACCCCAUGGAGCUUUAAACUCAGUACCAUCUGCCCAAUUCUAUAACCUAUCAGCUAGGCAGCUUUGAUUACUAGUUUUCGGUUGGGGUGACCGCGGAGUAAAACAAAACCUCCGCGAUGAACGGAACUAAUCUCCUUAUCCAAGAGCUACAACUCUAAGAAUCAAACCAUUGACAAAAUUUGAUCCAAAUAUAUGAUCAACGAACCAAGUUACCCUGGGGAUAACAGCGCAAUCCACUUCAAGAGCCCCUAUCGACAAGUGGGUUUACGACCUCGAUGUUGGAUCAGGGUAUCCCAGUGGCGCAGCCGCUACUAAAGGUUC
rnacentral:rRNA from 1 species